rnacentral:lncRNA from 1 species
CGCGCGGAAAUUCAGCUCAAUGAGAGCAGGUACUUUGGUUGAAUUACUGCUGAAUCUCUAGUGUCAAAACAAUGCCUACCACGUCGUAGAUACGCAAUAAAUACUUGUUGAACUGGUGCUUUAGUGUCGCCCAGUUUCUUCAUCAUCCUUCCAAGCCCGGUUCUGCAACCUUCACUCUGGCAGUCCCUGUAUUUACAUGCCCCCAACACUUCUUGUUCUACCACCACACAGAAAGCCUUCAGGCAGCAGCCCAGCCCUGGUCCGCAGACUCUCCUGUGUAGCACUCCCACUCCCUCUGGGGGCAUCGAAAGAAUGAAAGAGGGAAAUUUGGAUGGAUUACACUGAUAAAGAGCUGCUUUCGGCCGGGUGUGGUGGCUCACGCCUGUAAUCCCAGCACUUUGGGAGGCCGAGGCGGGCAGAUCACAAGGUCAAGAGACCGAGACCAGUCUGGCCAACCAUGGCCCGCAUGGUGAAACCCCUUCUUUACUAAAUAUACAAAAAUUAGCUGGGCGUGGUGGCGCAUGCCUGGAGGCUGAGGCAGGAGAAUCGCUUGAACCCGGUAGGCGGAGGUUGCAGCGAGCCGAGAUGGCGCCACUGCACUCCAGCCUGGCGACAGAGGGAGACUCUGUCUCAAACAAAACAACAACAACAACAACAAAAACAAAAAGCUACUUUCUGGAGCAGGAGAAAAACAACUUGAAUUGCCGUGGAGAAACCUUAGACUCUGGUAGCUGUUUAAACUCAUAAAUUGUCCCAGAAGAUUUCUAAUUCCCAAACCAUCAAACCAUCCCUCACAUUUAAUUCAGGAACAUGUUCGGCAAAUGUUUGUGUUUGUACACGAAGUCUCUCAGCGAUCUAAGUUUGACUUGAAGAGCAAUGAGGCAAAAUUCCCAUCUUCCUACCCCACUUUAACUUGGAGAUAAAACCUACUCAAGUUAUACAUACCAGUACUUUCAAAAACCCUUCAACUUAUCUAAGCAUCUCUCUAGCC